AAAACCCCCCAAAAAAU
rnacentral:sRNA from 1 species